AUUUAUAUAGUUUAAAAUAAAACAUUUCAUUUUCAAUGAAAAAAUAAAUACAAUUAUUUUAUAGAUA
rnacentral:tRNA from 1 species